rnacentral:rRNA from 1 species
AGAGUUUGAUCAUGGCUCAGAACGAACGCUGGCGGCGUGCCUAACACAUGCAAGUCGAACGCGAAAGUCCUUCGGGAUGAGUAAAGUGGCGCACGGGUGAGUAACGCGUGGAUAAUCUACCUGACGAUCUGGGAUAACAUUCCGAAAGGAGUGCUAAUACCGGAUAAGCCCACGGAAUCUUCGGAUUCUGCGGGAAAAGGGGGGGACCUUCGGGCCUUCUGUCGUCGGAUGAGUCCGCGUACCAUUAGCUAGUUGGUAGGGUAAUGGCCUACCAAGGCUACGAUGGUUAGCUGGUCUGAGAGGAUGAUCAGCCACACUGGAACUGAGACACGGUCCAGACUCCUACGGGAGGCAGCAGUGGGGAAUUUUGCGCAAUGGGGGAAACCCUGACGCAGCAACGCCGCGUGAGUGAUGAAGGCCUUCGGGUCGUAAAGCUCUGUCAGAGGGAAAGAAAUGUAUUAUGGCUAAUAUCCAUGAUACUUGACGGUACCCUCAAAGGAAGCACCGGCUAACUCCGUGCCAGCAGCCGCGGUAAUACGGAGGGUGCGAGCGUUGUUCGGAAUUAUUGGGCGUAAAGCGCGUGUAGGCGGUCUUUUAAGUCUGAUGUGAAAGCCCCGGGCUCAACCUGGGAAGUGCAUUGGAUACUGGGAGACUUGAAUACGGGAGAGGAGUGGAAUUCCUAGUGUAGGAGUGAAAUCCGUAGAUAUUAGGAGGAACACCGGUGGCGAAGGCGGCUACCUGGACCGAUAUUGACGCUGAGACGCGAAAGCGUGGGGAGCAAACAGGAUUAGAUACCCUAGUAGUCC